AGUGUAUGUUUUGCACUGCAGCCAUCACCCCUGGAUUCUGGAUGCAGAAGGAACAUUGUGGACAAGGGAUGGGGAGGAAGUAGAAAUAUGGUUCCAGUCUGGGGCUGAGUUUCAUCUUCCAAUCCAGGUUUUAUUGGUUUUUAAAACUUAAUUUUUGAAUAUUCAUUUGACUCCUGUGCUUGUUUCUCAAUUGCUUCAGAGGAAAAGGAUGGCUUUGUCAAACUUGUAUUUGUCCCUGGGGUAAAGGGCUUCAAUGCUGAGCAUCGAGCAUAAGGAGUUGGAGAAAGAGAUGUGGGUGAUUUACCUCUGCCAUGUAAGUCCUCCAUUAUUUGUCUUGUCUUAGUCCUAUUUCUUCCUUGUACCCAUCAAAGCAUUGGCAUUUCUUAGUCUGCAUCUUCUUGGGGGUUCUGCUGAAUAAGUCCGCUUUUCAUUAGCUGCAACUUUCUUUUCAAGUGUUCUAGGUUUUGUCUUUCUGUUCUUGGAUUAAUGACUCACGCAUUCAUCUCUUUUUGUCUGUCAGAAAUGUGUUUAAACCUGUCUUUAAUUGAUGCCCCCACCCUGCUCUCAGCUGUCAACUUAUUUAUUUACCUUUUUUACCUUUAUUUUACUUGCAUGUUGGGACCUGAAAAAAGUGGAGGUGGGUACGUACCAAUGCUUUAUCUACUAUCUUGCCCUGACGAAUCCACCUCUCACAUGAAACAAUAUCGGAUUGGCAAAAAUAAAUGAAUUUCAUCUGAAGAGAAUUAACACAAGCAUACACAUAUACACAGGAGUGCACAUAAAAAUUAAUCUUCAAGAGGAUAGAAACAGGGGAUGGUGUAGUUCCUGCCAUGAAGUACAGAUCAACUGGUACCAGAGAUUCAAAAUUGUGGAAUGGAUCAUGGGGAUUUCUCUCUUCCCUGUCAUAAAGAGUAAUUCAAUCAGGAAAACUGACAUGCAUUGUUGUAUUGUGGGUGCAACAGCUGAGAAGAUGAAAAAGACAUAGAGAAAGGGGAUAUUGGAAAUAAAAGGAUGUUAAAAUGAUAUAAUUUUUAAGAAGGUUGAGAAGGAAUAUGGGAUAUUUAUAUUCCUCUAAAUUUGAUAGAUAAUGAUGUCCACAAAGAAGAGUUUGCUGAAAUAAUUUUAAAUUUUGGUGAGCACAGACUAUCAAUGCCAAACGCAAUGGGUAAUUUUCUGUGUCAGCUUGGCUAGGCUGUGAUCUCCAAGUGUUUGUUCAAACAGCAAUCGUAGAUGUCCUUGUGAAGGUAUUUUUAGGUAAGAUUAACAUUUAAAUCAGUAGUCUUUGAGUAAAGCAGAUGACCUGCAAUAAUGUGAGUGGGUCUCAAAUUUGUUUUAAGUUGAAGGCCUUAAGAGAGAAAGAUUAAGGUCAUCCAUGAAAGAGGGAAUUCUGCUACCAGAUUGCAUUUGGACUCAAGCUGCAAUAUCAGCUCUUCCCUGGGUCUCCAACCUGACAGCCUGUCCUAUAGAUAAGAGCUUGCCAGUCCCCACAAUCACAUGACACAUGAGCCAGUCCUUUUUUUUUUAGCCAAUUCUUUAAAAUUCUUCUCCUCUCUCUCUCUCUCUCUCCCCCGCCUCUCCCUCUCUCUCUCCCUUCUUUCUCUGUGUAUACACAUGCACGCGUGCACGCGCGCACACACACACACACACACACACACUCAUCCUAUUAGUUCCGUUUCUCUGGAGAACCCAGACUAAUGUACUUCCUCAGUAAUUGUUUUAGCAUUCUGGAUUCUGUUACUUUACUAUCAGCCUUAAAAUUGCAAAAAGAAGAAGGAAAGUUUUAUCAACCAUUUCAGACACUAAGUUUUCAGCCUUUUGGGAUCAAGGAAAAUACAAUCCAUAUGUUUUGGACUCACUUGCUAUUAUCCAGAACAUUAUAUCGGAGAUGGUUUAAAAUUUCUGGCUGGUUCAAUAUACGCAAAUCAAUAAAUGUAAUCCAGCAUAUAAACAGAACCAAAGACAAAAACCACAUGAUUAUCUCAAUAGAUGCAGAAAAAGCCUUUGACAAAAUUCAACAACACUUCAUGCUAAAAACUCUCAAUAAAUUAGGUAUUGAUGGGACAUAUUUCAAAAUAAUAAGAGCUAUCUAUGACAAACCCACAGCCAAUAUCAUACUGAAUGGGCAAAAACUGGAAGCAUUCCCUUUGAAAACUGGCACAAGACAGGGAUGCCCUCUCUCACCACUCCUAUUCAACAUAGUGUUGGAAGUUCUGGCCAGGGCAAUUAAGCAGGAGAAGUAAAUAAAGGGUAUUCAAUUAGGAAAAGAGGAAGUCAAAUUGUCCCUGUUUGCAGACGACAUGAUUGUAUAUCUAGAAAACCCCAUUGUCUCAGCCCAAAAUCUCCUUAAGCUGAUAAGCAACUUCAGCAAAGUCUCAGGAUACAAAAUCAAUGUAAAAAAAUCACAGGCAUUCUUAUACACCAAUAACAGACAAACAGAGAGCCAAAUCAUGAGUGUACUCCCAUUCACAAUUGCUUCAAAGAGAAUAAAAUACCUAGGAAUCCAACUUACAAGGGAUGUGAAGGACCUCUUCAAGGAGAACUACAAACCACUGCUCAAGGAAAUAAAAGAGGAUACAAACAAAUGGAAGAACAUUCCAUGCUCAUGCGUAGGAAGAAUCAAUAUCAUGAAAAUGGCCAUACUGCUCAAGGUAAUUUACAGAUUCAAUGCCAUCCCCAUAAAGCUACCAAUGACUUUCUUCACAGAAUUGGAAAAAACUACUUUAAAGUUCAUAUGGAACCAAAAAAGAGCCCGCAUUGCCAAGGCAAUCCUAAGCCAAAAGAACAAAGCUGGAGGCAUCACACUACCUGACUUCAAACUAUACUACAAGGCUACAGUAACCAAAACAGCAUGGUACUGGCACCAAAACAGAGAUAUAGAUCAAUGGAACACAACAGAGCCCUCAGAAAUAAUGCCGCAUAUCUACAACUAUCUGACCUUUGACAAACCUGAGAAAAACAAGCAAUGGGGAAAGGAUUCCCUAUUUAAUAAAUGGUGCUGGGAAAACUGGCUAGCCAUAUGUAGAAAGCUGAAACUGGAUCCCUUCCUUACACCUUAUACAAAAAUCAAUUCAAGAUGGAUUAAAGACUUAAUCGUUAGACCUAAAACCAUAAAAACCCUAGAAGAAAACCUAGGCAUUACCAUUCAGGACAUAGGCAUGGGCAAG
rnacentral:lncRNA from 1 species